rnacentral:tRNA from 1 species
GCGGAUGUAGUUUAAUGGUAGAACUCCAGCCUUCCAAGCUGUGAGUGUGGGUUCGAUUCCCAUCGUCCGCU